rnacentral:lncRNA from 1 species
GGCUUUUUUAAAAGUUUUGAAGCUAACUCUUAUUUUCAGAAUCUUUCCAUACGACAUAAAUAAACGAUGUGAAAGAGAGCGAAAACGAUUUUUCAAUAAAUUGUUGAGUACUAAUAUGUUCAUCAAUUAAGGUUUGUAAACAUGUUUAUGAUCCUACAGCUGUGUGUAGCACUUUUAUCACUUUUGCUUGUCUAAAUGCAUCGCCGUCUGAAUCUUAUUCUUAUCAUGCUGUUUUGAGAGCAUCCUUCAAUUUUGACGUAAGUGUACAUGGUGUAUCCGAAUAUCGUCUUAGUUUAUCUACGUUUGUUUGGUUGCAAUUUGAUUUAAAUUGAGAGUUGGUUUUUCAUGUGUAUUUUUUAUUAGUUUUAUAUAGUAUCAAUGGAACCACCUCCGUCCCCGUCACCUUCGAGAUAGUGUUUUUUUCUUUUCUUGGCAUCAUGUUACAGUAUAUAUGGGUAAUAUCGUAUUCCAACCAUUAUUUUCUUGACACAAAAUUAUUGCCUGAGAUCUCAGGCAACCCUGAAGAAAAUAGAUAACUCGGUUGGACAAAUUAUUUGUUUAUUAUUUGAGGGUUUUUGUUUAUACAUGUAAGAUUUGCAAAUGGUUUUCUC